rnacentral:rRNA from 1 species
ACUCAAAUGAAUUGACGGGGGCCCGCACAAGCGGUGGAGUAUGUGGUUUAAUUCGAUGCAACGCGAAGAACCUUACCAAGGCUUGACAUCCUAGGAACCUGCCUGAAAGGGUGGGGUGCCUCUCGGGGAGCCUAGAGACAGGUGGUGCAUGGCUGUCGUCAGCUCGUGUCGUGAGAUGUUGGAUUAAGUUCCGCAACGAGCGCAACCCUCGUCGUAUGUUGCCAGCACGUAAUGGUGGGCACUCAUGCGAGACUGCUGCAGCAAUGUGGAGGAAGGUGGGGAUGACGUCAAGUCAGCAUGCCCCGUACGCCUUGGGCUACACACAUACUACAAUGCCAGGAGCAAACAGUUGCCAACCCGUGAGGGGGAGCUAAUCUGAGAAUGCCUGGCUCAGUGCGGAUCGUAGGCUGCAACUCGCCUACGUGAAGUUGGAAUCGCUAGUAACCGUCGGUCAGCAUUACGACGGUGAAUACGUUCCCGGGCCUUGUACACACCGCCCGU